rnacentral:lncRNA from 1 species
GUCCGUUUAGUGAAGACGAUGUAUAAUCAGAGUUGUCAAUCUGUUUUAAAAUCUGAAGUUAGAUAAAUCAAAUUUGAGACCACAAGCUGAUGCAAAACAUUUAGAAAAAACUGUACAUCCCCUGAAAAUUUCAGAAGCAUAAGCACAAAUAGUUUAAGAACUAUCCAAUUGUGACAACUUGUUAGUUUAAAAAAAUCCAAUUACCAAGAUUUUUGUCCCAGAGUAGUUGCAGAAAAUUACACAAUUAGAGCAAUUUUUCUCAGCUGCUCUGCUACAGAAAACGAAAAUACCCAUCUCAACUAAAAGUUGAAGAGAGACAGCAGUGAAAAGAGAAAGCAAGAGCUGGAAGAAGAAUAAAGAACAGAGCAAAAGGAUAAUGCAGGACACCGUGUGUUUUGUUACUGAUGGUAGAGAUGGCCAUCCAGGAGUUCCGGGACCUGUUAUUGGAGUCCAGCAUUUCUGAGUGUUUCCGUAUGGAGCAUUAAUCUCAUGACAUACUUCACCCUCAAUGGGUUCCGUGCUCAAUUAAGUUUGGGAAAUAUCCCUCACUUGGAAAUUUGCACUGCACAGUAGUAUUUGAACAGACUCUGGAAUACCACAGAAGUGAGAAUAUGCACAUGAUGAUGAUCUGUUGUAUUACAGACGAUGUUAACUUUUUUCACUCGGUGAAGAUACUAUCUGCCAGAUCUUUCUGCUGUAAAAUCAAUUAAUAAGAGUUUCAUGAGGUGUCACUUUGAAACUACGUAAAUAUCCUAUUCCUCCUCAAUUUUUCACUCACUAGUUUAAGCAUUCAUUGAUGAUUCCUGCCUAAAUCAAUUGUUAAUAUGAAUAUUGCCAAAUAAUUUUUCUAAUUCCAUUAUUCCUUCUACAUUUAUUAGUUGACUAUCUACUAUAAAGUAGACUUUCUUUUUACCCUAUUUACUUAUGUAUUUGUUUAAAUUUGUAUAGAUCCAUGGAUUCUUAUUUUAUUCGAUGUGUUAUAAUCUAUUACUAUCAUUAUUUAUUUUAAUGUCAAUUUUUCCCAGAUUUGGCUAGUGGGAGCCCUUUCAGUUUAGCUCCUAUAUCCUUUUAACUUGUCCCUAUCAUUUUUUGAGAACUUCCUUACGUUCUGGCACAAGAUGUCCUAGGUUUAUCUGUACUUCCCUUGUUCUAACCCUGGAAUCAGCCAUUGCUCCAAGGACACCUGGUUCCUUUACAUGGAAGAUGGUAUUUAAAAACCAAGAUCUGGGGGCGAGGUAUGUUCAUUGCUAUGGAGGUAUUGCUUCUAGGCCCUCUCAACAGAAAGCUAGAAAAUAGAUGUACGUACAUACAGUCUCACAUAGACACACACAUCUAUAGUUACUUCUAUAUUUAUCUACUCAUAUCUAUUAAAACCACUAGUUUAUACAGAUACCUCCAACUGCGGUCUGAUGUCAAAUGAUUUAUUCUGGCCUUCCCCUUUUCCAUAUUUGAAGACAGUAAGAAUCCUACCUCCCAUUAUCCCCUGUCCCUUAUUUUCUCAGUCCCUCGUGUGUAAUUUGCUCAGUCCCUUUCAUGUAGACAAUCUCCAGAUCACGUGUGCCAUCUCCUUAGCCCUGUGCUAACAACUCAUCCCAGCUGAGAAC